UCCUUUUUAUUAGAAGCUUGGCGGACUGUUAAUCCGUAUGUCACUGGUUCAAGUCCAGUAGAGUGAA
rnacentral:tRNA from 1 species